rnacentral:rRNA from 1 species
UCGAGAAUCUUCGGCAAUGGACGAAAGUCUGACCGAGCGAUGCCGCGUGCGGGAUGAAGGCCCUCGGGUUGUAAACCGUGAAAGUUGGGAGGAAGGCCCUGUGAAGAGCAGGGUUUGACCGAUCUUCAGUAAGGACGGGCUAAGUUCGUGCCAGCAGCCGCGGUAACACGAACCGUCCAAACGUUAUUCGGAAUUAUUGGGCUUAAAGGGUGCGUAGGCGGCGUGUUAAGUCGGGUGUGAAAUCCCACAGCUCAACUGUGGAACUGCGCCCGAUACUGGCAUGCUUGAGGGAGACAGGGGUAAGCGGAACUGAUGGUGGAGCGGUGAAAUGCGUUGAUAUCAUCAGGAACACCGGUGGCGAAAGCGGCUUACUGGGUCUCUUCUGACGCUGAGGCACGAAAGCUAGGGUAGCGAACGGGAUUAGAUACCCCCGUAGUCC